CAGGUUAAAAAGAAGGAUCCCAGUCCUGCUGCUGAUGGGUCUCCAGACAGCUUGGGUGUAACUUUCCACUUGGAUGUUCACAGUGUUUGGGAUACAGGAAGGGAAUCUGACUCAUAAAGAAACAUAAAGUGCAAUUGAGUUCCCACUUACUUCAGUGGAAGAAUUGAUGUGCCCAAGGUCAGAGAGAAAGUCGAUAGCGGAGCUGGGGAAAAGAAGCAGGAGUUUUGAAGCCAGUGCCUUUCAUGCAGCCACCAGACAGCCCUCCCUUUGCUGAGCGAUCCAAGCCCAAGGCCAAAUAAAUCUCCAGCGUAAUCCCAAUUGUCAGGAGGCAUGUGGUCUCCUGAGGCACCAGACGUGUGUGAGAACAUGGAGAUGAGAGCUUUGAUGUGCCUUUGAGAGAACACUGGAAGAAACAGAGCAGAUACGGGAACUUCUCCAAUGGGAUGAACAGCUCUGAGAAGCAGCCUGGAGGAUACAUACAUGAUGGACCAUGCACUCCUGAGCCUGGCACAGCCUUCGGGGAGGGAGAUGCUCUGGCAAUGGGGAUGCAGCCUCUGACACCACCUAAAACAUGGUGUGUCAGCUGCUUCGUAACACAGCUCUUCUUGUCCUCUAUGCAGAUCUGCUUUCCUGCAAAGAGAACAAAGACAUCGUUUGUCCAGAGAAAGGUUUCUUCCAUCAAGCUCAGACACAUCCUGAAAGAAGUGCAUGAAGACUUGCAUGAGUUGGUGAUUGUGGAGACACUAAAAAGGUGAUGCUCACCAUGUCCUCUCCUGUUGGAAGCAGUAGCCUCAAAAUCCGCCCCCUCACCACCAUCCAAAGCCUCAAGCUAAGUAAGAGCAAUGCCAGGGCAGAUGGCUGCACAGCAGGGCUCUCAGCGUCACUGCUCACUCUUCCCCUACAUGCCCUGUCCUGCUCAGCAGUUUUCCCAUGAACUUAUCUGAGCGGCACUCUUUGCUUUGUGCUAUGAAAAUCAAAGAUGAGGUGUCCUGAAUGAAAAGCUCACAGUUACCACGAGGUCUGCCUCUCAAUGCGCUGGGAAUAGAAAUGUGGCAAUCAGACUUUGGGAUGAAAUCAUAUUGGACAUGCUGGCUUAAUCUCUAAAGUAUGAAAUUGUAAGGAAGGAAUUACAGCUAAAAAACAUUUCACAUUUUAGAAAGCUUCUCUGACCCAUGCUGGAUCAGGAGAGAGAAGGAAAAGAGGGUAAAAAAAAAAAAAAACCAACAACCCCAAACCUGUGGAAUUCAAAUGACUGUAGCCAUUUGGGUUAGAAAAAAUCCAUCAUCAAAUAAACAGACUCCUGCACUUGUA